rnacentral:rRNA from 1 species
UAGGGAAUCUUUCGGCAAUGGACGAAAGUCUGACCGAGCAACGCCGCGUGAGUGAAGAAGGUUUUCGGAUCGUAAAACUCUGUUGGUAGAGAAGAACGUUGGUGAGAGUGGAAAGCUCAUCAAGUGACGGUAACUACCCAGAAAGGGACGGCUAACUACGUGCCAG